rnacentral:rRNA from 1 species
AUACGGAGGGUGCGAGCGUUAAUCGGAAUUACUGGGCGUAAAGCGUACGUAGGCGGUUGGUUAAGUUAGAUGUGAAAGCCCCGGGCUUAACCUGGGAACUGCAUUUAAAACUGGCGAACUAGAGUUGAGUAGAGGGGAGUGGAAUUUCAGGUGUAGCGGUGAAAUGCGUAGAGAUCUGAAGGAACACCAGUGGCGAAGGCGACUCCCUGGACUCGAACUGACGCUGAGGUACGAAAGCGUGGGUAACAAACGGGAUUAGAAACCCGGGUAGUCC